AUUUCAUUAGCAAAGUUUAAAAUCUCACGAGUAAUGUAACUCAAAAGAGACUAGAGCCUGCACAUCUACACUGAAGGGUUUUAGUGAAAAGCGAGGUGAAAAGUCUUUAGCUAAUUGCUGAGAUCUCAUCCGGACAAUCAGCCAGCCUGCCAGCCAGUCAGGCAUAUCGAAUAUAAUAGCAUAUAUUUUUUUAGAAAAUGUGCUAAAAAUUAAAUUAGACUGACUCGAUCAGUUGAUAAACCAAACCGGGUUCAAUUAUAAAUCAAACUUUCUUUUACAGAAAUUGUAGGCCAUUGGGUUGUAAUGUCACGUACUCUAGGUCAUCAAGGUCUAGGUAGACACAUGCCCAUCUCCAAAUUAUUUGAAAAUAAGCAUGGGGCCGGGGGACACCGGGAACUUUCCCGCUGGGCCGGUAUUAGGAUCCAUGAGCGCUUUGCGGCUGGCAGCAUCACUCAAAUGAAAACACAAAACAGAGAUAGAGCCAGCAUACACCGUUAAUUAAUAUUCUAAGGGGCACCUCAUAGCUUCAGCUUCUAUUGUCGACACGACAAAGAGAGACUGCGAUUCGAGGUCUUAAGAAACUUUUGGGUACCCAAAGUCGACUAUCCCUCGAAGGCGGGGGUUUACACAUCAAUCACCACGUUAGUACAAAACGCUUCGAGAUGGCGCCCAGAUGUCUCCAAACGCAUCAUGUAGCCUUUUUCCUAAAGUUGUUAAUUAUACGACACCGACCCACAUUUGCUGCCAACCAGCUAGCCAGCCACAUAAAUUUGCAAAGAUGCGCUAAAAAUGAAAUAACU